rnacentral:rRNA from 1 species
GACGAACGCUGGCAGCGUGCUUAACACAUGCAAGUCGAACGGAAAGGCCCUGCUUUUGUGGGGUGCUCGAGUGGCGAACGGGUGAGUAACACGUGAGUAACCUGCCCUUGACUUUGGGAUAACUUCAGGAAACUGGGGCUAAUACCGGAUAGGAGCUCCUGCUGCAUGGUGGGGUUGGAAAGUUUCGGCGGUUGGGGAUGGACUCGCGGCUUAUCAGCUUGUUGGUGGGGUAGUGGCUUACCAAGGCUUUGACGGGUAGCCGGCCUGAGAGGGUGACCGGCCACAUUGGGACUGAGAUACGGCCCAGACUCCUACGGGAGGCAGCAGUGGGGAAUAUUGCACAAUGGGCGGAAGCCUGAUGCAGCAACGCCGCGUGCGGGAUGACGGCCUUCGGGUUGUAAACCGCUUUCGCCUGUGACGAAGCGUGAGUGACGGUAAUGGGUAAAGAAGCACCGGCUAACUACGUG